AUACGUAGGUGGCAAGCGUUGUCCGGAAUUAUUGGGCGUAAAGCGCGCGCAGGCGGUCCUUUAAGUCUGAUGUGAAAGCCCACGGCUCAACCGGGGAGGGUCAUUGGAAACUGGAGGGCUUGAGUGCAGAAGAGGAAAGUGGAAUUCCAAGUGUAGCGGUGAAAUGCGUAGAGAUUUGGAGGAACACCAGUGGCGAAGGCGACUUUCUGGUCUGUAACUGACGCUGAGGCGCGAAAGCGUGGGGAGCAAACAGGAUUAGAUACCCUGGUAGUCCACGCCGUAAACGAUGAGUGCUAAGUGUUAGGGGGUUUCCGCCCCUUAGUGCUGCAGCUAACGCAUUAAGCACUCCGCCUGGGGAGUACGGUCGCAAGACUGAAACUCAAAGGAAUUGACGGGG
rnacentral:rRNA from 1 species